UUCGCUCGCGGCUGUUCUGACUCGUCUGGGUCUCCCUGACUCCGAAACGCUGGCUCUGGGCCGAGCGACUGUCCUGUUAGGUCCGGGAAGAGUCGUUUUCCGCGUGGCGCAGAGGCGGGCCUGAGGUUCGCCACUCGGCACGGGCUUCCCCGCGCCCGGCCUGGGAUGGAGACCGUGGCGCCCGCGACCCCCUCUUCUCCCGCAGCUCCGCCCGCAGAGCUCGAUGGCGGCGGCCGCGCGGAGGACCCGCCUCAGGUCUCCCGUGAGAAGGGCAUUUCCCAGGCAGGACUCCUAGGGCAGAUCCAUCGUUCAUGAAGAGCCACCCCUGUGAAAUGUGUGGCCUCACAGACAAUUGGCACUUGGAUGAGCAGCAGCCAACACAUGACAGGCAGAAACUGCACAGAUUUGUAGAAAUGGAAUUGCUGCAAAAAAGUACUGCAUGUUCAUGCUGGAUAUGACAAGCUUCCUUUUCUACAGUUUGUUCCAGUUUGUACUCAAACCAACAGGAAAUCAUGACCGCAGGGAUGUGGCAUUGUGCUCAGGACGAACGAGGGCAGUCUCUUCCCAGGUCCUGCAGAGGAGCCGUGGAGCCUGCUGUGCACAACUGUUGAGGGAUCAUCCUCAUUCCAGACACGCUGGACUCACAGGACGAGGGGGCAGGACGCUGCAACCGACUGCUGGGCACGUGCCUCUCAGGACAGCAUCCGCCUGACCCGCCACUGUGGCUGGGAAGGAUGAGCAGAGCUGCACCUGUUCCCAGGCUAGGGGUCUAAUUGGAGCUGUAGCCGCCCGCCUACGCCAGAGCCAUAGCAACGCCAGAUCCGAGCUGCAUCUGCGACCUACACCACAGCUCACGGCAACGCUGGAUCCUUAACCCACUGAGCAAGGCCAGAGAUAGAACCUGCAAACUCAUAAUUCUUCGUCAGAUUCGUUUCUGCUGUGCCACGACAGGAACUACAAAAAAAUUUUUUUUAAAUGGGUAGAGAGUUCCCACCAUGGUUAAGAAUCUGACUGAUGUGGCUCAGGUCACUGGAGGUGCAGUGAUCUCUGGCCCAGGGCAGUGGUUUAAGGAUCUGGUGUUGAUGCAGCUGUGGCUCAUUCCAUCUGCAGGUGCAGCCAGAAAAAGAAAAAUGGGCAGAAGAAACAGACAUGCUUUUCAAAGUGGAAAAGCAGAUGGCCAACAUCGCUAAUCACCAGGGAAAUACCAAUCAAAACCACACUGAGCUAUCGCCUCACACCAGUCAGGAUGGCCAUUGUCAGAAAGAACACAAAUAACAAACACUGGAGCAAGUGUGGAGAAAAGGGAACACUCGUGCAGUACUGGUGAGAAUGUUAAUUGGUGCAGCUAGUGUACAAAAAAUGGAGGUUCCCCCCCACACACACACAAAAAUAGAACUACUUUGUGACCCAGCAUUCCCCUCCUGGGCAUACAUCUGAAAAAAUAAAAACACCAAUUCAAAAUGAUACAGGUACCCCAGGGUUCACAGCAGUUUCACUUACAACUGCUAAGACAUGGGAACAGCCUACAGUGUCCUUCAAUACUUGAAUGGGUGGAUACACAAUGGAAUACCACUGGAUCAUUUAGAAAGAACAAAAUGUUGCCAUUUACAGCAACAUGGAUAGAGUUGGUGAGCAUUAGCCUACAUGAAGUAAGUUAAAGAGAAACACUAGUGCAGUGGCUUACUGCCAGAAAAGCUGCAAAUUAACUUCAAGAAGACAAAGUAAUAAAAUGUAGUAUGAUUAGGAAGUUGGCAGUUCUAAUUAAAUAGUUUUAAUGGAGGUAUAAUUGACUUAAAACAAACUGCACAUUCUGACGUGUGCUCAUAACCCUGAAACUAAGUUUCCUCCUGCCUUUUCAAAUGUAUCCUCAACAUAUAAAAUUCCUGAUACAGUGACAUAUUCUAUAUUUUGUUACGGCUAUUUUCAAAUAUAUACAGAAAGUGAAGAAUGUUUUGAAGCCAGAUGGAUCCCUCCCAGUCACUUCAUGGCCAUUCUUCUCCUUUCAUCUAUUGCCAUGUACACCAGCGGAGGAGUUUCCCACCAUCCCCCCUGACUCACGAUUUUGCUUUCUGAGGUUUCAGUUAGCCAUAGUCAACCAAGCUCUGAAAAGCUAAAAGGAAAAUUCCACAAAUAAGCAUCUGUGAGUGUUAAACUCUGUGCCAGUCUGCACAAGCACGUCUCCUGCCGCCCUCUUCAUCCCCCCACGAUGUCCAUCAUCCCUUUGGCCGGUGCAUCCAAGCGGGCGUCGUAUCAUCGCACAUGCUCACACUUAGUGAACCACAAGAUACUGAGCGAGAACACAUUCACUUUUAUUGCAGUCAACUGUUCUGUUUUAUUAUUGGUUAAUCUCUUACUACGCUUACUUUAUACAUUAAACUUAAUCACAGGUAUGUAUGCAUAGGAAAAAAACAUAGUAUAUAUAAGGUUUAGUAUGAUCCAUGGUUUCUGGCAUCUACUUGGGGAUCUUCGAAUGGUUUACUGCACAUUUUUCGAAGAUUUUUGCUGCAGAUAAGGGGUGACAACUGCACCUAUAAUUCCAAGCAUGUUAUCAUUUAAUGCAUAACCUCUUCAGAAUAGAUUUUAUUACUUUUUUAUUUUUAGGGCUGCACCUGAGACAUCUGGAUGUACCCAGGCUAGGGGUCCAACUGGAGCUGCAGCUGCCUGCCUACACCAUAACCACAGGCCAGAUCAUUAACCCAUUGAUCGAUACCAGGGGUCAAACCUGCGUUCUUAUGGAUACUGAUUGGGUUCAUUAUCACUGAACCACAAUGGGAACUCCAGAAUACAUUUUUUAAAUGUAAGGUAAUCCUUCAUAACCCCAAAAGUUAUAAAAAUACAUUUUAUUAAUGCUCAAUUGUUUCAAAAAUGAAUUUGCUUAAGUCAGAUUAGUUGAAGUCAGAGUCCAAAAUGUAUUCUUACGUCUUUCAUUAGCUGUGUCUCACAGGUCUCUUUACAUAUGAGGUCCACUUAUCUUUUAAAAUUCUUAGUUCUUAUAAUUUGCUGUCAUUUAUUCAUCAGAAUUUUCUACAUUCUAGAUAUGGCUUUUUGAGUCUCUGAUACUGUUUAACUGAUCACCCUUCCUCUGUAAUUCUUGUCCACUAGAUGUUGAUGAGAUGGGUGACAAGAUUUGAUCCCUUAAGACAGGUGUUUGAUGAUGACUGUUAGGGAAGUAAAAACAAAAAUUUCUCCCAACCUAGAAAUUUUUUUUUUUUUUUUUUUUUUUGUCUUUUAGCCUUUUCUAGGGCCACUCCCUCGGCAUAUAGAGGUUCCCAGGCUAGGGGUCUAAUUGGAACUACAGCCGCUGGCGCCAGAGCCACAGCAAUGUGGGAUGCGAGCCGAGUCUACAACCUACACCACAGCUCACAGGAACACUGGAUCCUUAACCCAUUGAGCGAGGCCAGGGAUCGAACCCGCAACCUCAUGGUUCCUAGUCGGAUUCGUUCACCACUGUGCCACGAUGGCAACUCCCAACCUAGAAAUUCUUUCCACAAAGAUAGCAGAGACAGAAAACUGCUUUUCUUGUUGAUAAGCAUUAAAGCAAAAUAGAUGUGCAUCACAAGUGAUCUACCAGGAAAUUGCAAAGGCAGCAAAAAACUCUGCAUAUGUCCAAGCAGAUAUAUCCCACUGAAUACAUUUUUUCCCUUUUUUGGGCCACACCUGCAGUAUAUGGAAGUUCCCAGGCUAGGGGUCGAAUUGAAGCUGUAGCCGCCAGCCUACACCAGAGCCACAGCAACGCGAGAUCCCAGCUGCGUCUGCGACCUACACCAUAGCUCAUGGCAAUACCGGAUCCUUAACCCACUGAGCAGGGCCAGGGAUUGAACUUGAAACCUCAUUGAUACUAGUCAGGCUCAUGAUUGCUGAGCUGCAAGAGAGCUCUGCAUACGUAUAUUCGAGAAAAACAGUAACUGGUCCUCAUGUAAGAGGAGCUGACAGAACCAUUUGUCACAGAGUCCUAAUUUUACCGGCUAAUUGGGGUGACCUGUUAGCUAACUGGUUUUAUCCAGAGGAAGAAUCAACUUCUCACCUUUCAAGAGGGAGCUUUGUAGUUGGAGCAAGGCGUCUGCUAAGAUGAGACUCCUGUCCUCACACCAGCUGACCCUCCUUUGUCUGCAGUUUGGACAGAUGGGUUCCACGUUCUUGAGAAAAACAUUCUGAUUCACAAAACUGAAAGGGAAAAAUGACCAGCUGAAAAAAGGCCUGUCUAGUCUUCAACGACAUGCAUGUUAAAGAUAUGAGACAGUUCUCAGAAUUUUUCAAAGAUAAAUGCUCUGAGGGAGAAGGAGGAAGCAUCUUUCCCUAUUUUCAACAGGGAGAAUUAAGCCAUUUUU
rnacentral:lncRNA from 1 species